GGUGGGGAAGGAAGAGGAUACGUAGUUGAUUAUGUUUUGGCAUUCAUGGAAAGCUUGGAACAUAACUACGUCUGAACCUCAAAAGCAUCAAAACCACCACUAUCUGUACGGUGAUAUAUUGAGAGAACUUUCUUAAAUAGAAUAACAUUCAAUUAGACAUUCAGUGUUCUACUUCACAAGGAGUGCGAACACUUCACGCUUCUUUUUAUAUA
rnacentral:lncRNA from 1 species